UUAGCCUGCUGAGGUAAGUAAUAUUUUUCUUAGACUCAUAAACAUAUCUUUCAGUUUAUGAAAAAAAAUUUAUUUUAUGUUUAUGUGUUUUGCCUGCAUGUAUGGCUAUGCAUUAUGGGCCUGCCUCAUGCCCAUGUAGGUCAGAAGAGGGUGUUAGAGACCCUGGAAAUAGAGGUACAGUUUUUAGCCAUUGUAUAGGUACUGGGAACUGAACCCCAAUCUCUGAAAGAGCAGCAAGUGCUCUUAACAUGUGAGCCAUCUCUUCAGCCCCAUAAAACUAUUUUUAAAAGCAAUACCAGGCCCACCCACUUGUUACCGUUACAAUAAAAAUUCAAGACUUACUUCCUAAAACAGAUGCUAACAUCAUGAACCAGCUUCUUUGCUCUGCUCUUUCAAAAGUAGGUAAGUAGGCAUUUCCACCUGUCGCUUGAUGGGUAUAAUUAUUUCAACAGCUGUGAGGUGACAGAAGCAUUGUGUCACUCCCUGGCCCUUCUUCUCUGGACUGGUGCUAAGGACUCACUUGCCUUAGACUGUCUAGAACCUACCAGUCCUGAAGCAGCUUUCCCAAAGUAAACCAUUGGAUGCAUCACGUCCCUUACAUGUUUUCUCAAGGCCUUUCCUGGGUGAGUGAAAUUCACCUGCUUAGGAGUUUCAGUGCCUGGCCUGCAUGAACCUUACCUCUGUGUGCCUCCCUUCCACUGCUCCUUCCUGGUCCAAGCUCAUCUGUGCCUUCAUACAGCACACCUUUUACUCUCAGAUAUUUACAUAGAACUUGGAAAGAAGUUUUUAGAAUAUAGGCAUCUACCCCACGUUUAUGAAAAAUUGACCUGCAUGGGGAAGAGUUGUGUCAAGACAGUCAUUCUCCACUAGCGCUGAGCAUCAGCUCCAGAGUGUGGAAGUGUUUCCUGUGCUGUCCACUAACGCUGCUGCUGGCCACACGGCUAUGGACCUAGUCCAUACCUUGUAUAAACAAUGAAUGAAUGUUAAUGCAUUUAAUUAAUUUAAAUAUAAAUAUUUUGCUGGCUAAUGUUCAUCAGAAUUUGAGAAACACUAGUUUAAAGGGAUAUAUUCAUUAAUGUUGACUAUAAGCCUCGGCAGAGUUUUAAGUUUGUAGAUUUUUGUUAAAUAUAUGUUAAAAUAAUUUCUGACCAGUAAAACAGUCAAUAACAAAAAUAUAUGGUGUGAUGGACAUUUCACUAUUGAGGAAGAGCUAACUUCUCAGAUACUCCCUGAGUUGUUCAUAAUAUUUUUAUCCUUCAUUAAUUGUUUAACUACAACAUUUUACAUGUGUUUACAUUUUGCUCUGAGACUAAUUUUAUGUUUUGUGACUUGUUCUGUAGCACAUCCUUGUUUUGAAGUUUAUGAUAAGUGCUCACUUUUCUCGACGUUCUUCCUGCCUGCUGAGAGCACCUAAAGCAGCACACAGCCACCUGUUUCUAGGAUGCCCAAGGCCACCAUUCCCAUCCAAAGACAUCCUUAACUGAAUCUUCUAUCAAACGCAAAAUGAUGAGUUUUUGCCUACUUUUUUCUCAGGGUGCUAAACUCCUUAUAUCAUAUACAUAUUAAUAUAUAGGCUAUAUAGAUGCCAUGAGUAGCAAUGGUUGAUAUUAUGGGAAGAGAUCAUCAACCCACCAGUUUUGAAACUAACACUGGAGUGUGACAAAGUCCUUUUGCAAAUGAUGAAAUCACAACAAACUGACCUCAAAAUAACUUAAUCUCUGGGACAAUAUAAUGAGGUAUGUUCUGCUGGGCCCAUUAAAAUGACAUGCAGUUGGAUAAUUAUUUCUACAGUGUCAGGAUUCUAAAGCUAGAAGUUUCCCAGCUUCUGUUAUUUGGCAAUGCUAAAUGAAUGUUGUCAAAAAAUUAAAUCUAAAUUGGUUAUAAAUCUUCAUUUAACUGCACCAUGCAGGGAAGGUUACAUUGUAACAGCCACACUUUUGUCAUCAUUAGGAAAAGGCAGAGUCUGAUUUUAACAGUAUUAAGACUAUUGAAAUUAUUGUUUGUUCUACAUUUGCCAUUGGGGAUUGAGCCUUUGAUGGUCAACCCUGAGUGUAUGGGCAAAGCCGACAACAAUGGAUGGCAGGGCAAGCAGCGUUCUGGUCUACCAGUGAUGCUGGGCCUCCCUGACCUACUGUGACCAUCUUAUACGAAGGCUACUUUGCUUUUCCAACUGCAUUUUCCUAACUGAUUAAAGGAUCUAAUUUCAGAAAACAGUCCAUUUUCAACCCAGUUUGCCUGACUUUUUUCAGGCAAUGACCUGUGGCUUGAUCACCUGUCUAAACCAUCUGGUGGCUCGUUAUAAUCCUACAAAUGGUCCCUCAAAAGCCCCAUUAUGCCUUUUAGCAGCAGCAAUAACCACCACACAGACAGGGAGGCCUGAUAAGUGGCCACUCCCUGGUGUAACUAGUUUCUGCUGAACGAAAGAACAAAGUUGGACCACAAUAAUUUUUAAUGUCAGUAAAAACCUACUGUGGGAUAAAGCUCUUUUUUUGGUUUGUAUAUGAAUAUCGGGAAGAAAGCUUUGGGAAAUUAGACCAGAACAUCAAAAGAAAAUCCUCAAUGAUUUUUAAAAUGCAGGUUAAAUGUGGCUUGUUAUAGUAACUGUGGCAUAAACUUAUGCCAUAGGAAGCCUGUAAGAAACUCUGUUCUAUGAUAAGACCCAAUAGUUAUAAUAUUAAGCAUGUAUAUAUACACAUAGAGUCAAUAAAUAUACCCCCAUGAUUAAUAUUCACAUACUACAUUUAUUUGACUAAGAAACAUUAUGUCAGAACAAAGUAGAAAAAUAAGAGGUAUUAAAAUUAAGUGUGUGUUUUUUUCUAAAAAUAAAUUUAUAGUUUUUAAAAG
rnacentral:lncRNA from 1 species